AUUGAACGCUGGCGGCAGGCUUAACACAUGCAAGUCGAGCUGGGGAAGGUAGCUUGCUACCGGACCUAGCGGCGGACGGGUGAGUAAUGCUUAGGAAUCUGCCUAUUAGUGGGGGACAACAUCUCGAAAGGGAUGCUAAUACCGCAUACGUCCUACGGGAGAAAGCAGGGGAUCUUCGGACCUUGCGCUAAUAGAUGAGCCUAAGUCGGAUUAGCUAGUUGGUGGGGUAAAGGCCUACCAAGGCGACGAUCUGUAGCGGGUCUGAGAGGAUGAUCCGCCACCCUGGGACUGAGACACGGCCCAGACUACAACUGGAGGCAGCAGUGGGGAAUAUUGGACAAUGGGGGGAACCCUGAUCCAGCCAUGCCGAGUGUGUGAAGAAGGCCUUAUGGUUGUCAAGCACUUUAAGCGAGGAGGAGGCUACUCUAGUUAAUACCUAGGGAUAGUGGACGUUACUCGCAGAAUAAGCACCGGCUAACUCUGUGCCAGCCGCCGCAGUAA
rnacentral:rRNA from 1 species